rnacentral:rRNA from 1 species
AACGAACGCUGGCGGCAUGCCUUACACAUGCAAGUCGAACGGCAGCACGGGAGCAAUCCUGGUGGCGAGUGGCGAACGGGUGAGUAAUGUAUCGGAACGUACCUUUCAGUGGGGGAUAACGUAGCGAAAGUUACGCUAAUACCGCAUAUUCUGUGAGCAGGAAAGCAGGGGAUCGCAAGACCUUGCGCUGAUUGAGCGGCCGAUAUCAGAUUAGCUAGUUGGUGAGGUAAAGGCUCACCAAGGCGACGAUCUGUAGCGGGGUCUGAGAGGAUGAUCCGCCACACUGGAACUGAGACACGGUCCAGACUCCUACGGGAGGCAGCAGUGGGGAAUUUUGGACAAUGGGGGCAACCCUGAUCCAGCCAUGCCGCGUGAGUGAAGAAGGCCU